rnacentral:rRNA from 1 species
GAUGAACGCUGGCGGCGUGCCUAAUACAUGCAAGUCGAGCGAAUGGAUUAAGAGCUUGCUCUUAUGAAGUUAGCGGCGGACGGGUGAGUAACACGUGGGUAACCUGCCCAUAAGACUGGGAUAACUCCGGGAAACCGGGGCUAAUACCGGAUAACAUUUUGAACCGCAUGGUUCGAAAUUGAAAGGCGGCUUCGGCUGUCACUUAUGGAUGGACCCGCGUCGCAUUAGCUAGUUGGUGAGGUAACGGCUCACCAAGGCAACGAUGCGUAGCCGACCUGAGGAGGAGAUCGGCCACGAUGGGACUGGGACACGGACCAGACUCCUACGGGAGGCAGCAGUAGGGAAUCUUCCGCAAUGGACGAAAGUCUGACGGAGCAACGCCGCGUGAGUGGUGAAGGCUUUCGGGUCGUAAAGCUCUGUUGUUAGGGAAGAACAAGUGCUAGUUGAAUAAGCUGGCACCUUGACGGUACCUAACCAGAAAGCCACGGCUAACUACGCGCCAGCCGCCGCGGUAA